rnacentral:misc_RNA from 1 species
GUUAAACAGCACCACUCACUUGCUAAAAUGGCCAGUUGAGGACAACUAGAUAAAGACUACAAAAUGAUAAUCGUCUGAAAAUUGUUCUGCAUGAAAAGGAAAUGCACUGCUUCAAAGGAAAUGCACUGCUUCGACAUAAAAUCAACAAACAAAACAGAGAUAGGCUCAAUAGGUAAUUGGGUGGAGGACAUCAAGCUGGGAACCAAGUGUUGCUUCCACAGCUUUCUCUGCCUUGGACCUAAGCUUUGCCAGCUCCUUUUUCCUGUUAUAGGUCACCAAAGCCCUCUCUUUCCUCUUAACCUCCAGCUCCUUGAUGGUGUCAUAGUGGC